ACCACAGUGGCUAACUUUAUGUACUUCCCAGCUGCUCUGUGUUCCUCAGUUGUCAGUGAGGAGACUUGUUGAGUCUGGUGACCAUGUUCUGCCCUUAUAUGUCUUCUCCAUCAACAGUUAUAUGGUUAGAGUGACCUGUCAAGAUAUUUGUGGAACCUCUAAAUGACUGGGGUGAUUAUGAACUAUGGCAAUUUUUUCCUGACUUGUAAACCCACAGGCUUGUGGACUCUGCAGCCAAGUUGAAUUCUGAGUCUGCAGCUGUGAAUGAGCCUGAAGAGGCUAUCUCCUUGGUUACUUGGAGCAUGUGCUAUGAGGGCAGAGAAAACCAGAUAGCUGGGAUAACCACUUCCCUUCAAAUAGAGGAGACAGCUGGGUUCCCCAGAGGGGGCAUCUGAAGCACAGGACAAAAUAAUUUGUGGUGUCACCGAGUCACUGAUGAACAUAAAGGAGCACCAGAGAGCUACCAUCCCACCAAACCUUCCUCACCAAGGUGCAGAUGAAGCAGAAGGUGCAGCCUGACCAGUCAGCUACAGAAAAUGACCAUUGAAAGAAAGUAACAGUGAGAUUGCCUGAUCUUUAUCACAGAAGAGAGCAUGAAGAAUAGGUAUUAUCAUUGAGAAUUUCUUUUUGAAGACAGGAGAAACAUUGUCACAGACUCUGAAGGGUACACACUUGUGGAGAAGACACCAGGGAAAUUCUUAGACAGCUAUUUUGGCAAGCCUCCUGAGAGAGCUCAUGCAGCUCCACCUCCCAUCAUCUAAACAGCCUGCCUCUACCGGUGUAGGGUCAGAA